AUACGGAGGGUGCAAGCGUUAUCCGGAAUCAUUGGGUUUAAAGGGUCCGUAGGCGGGCAUAUAAGUCAGUGGUGAAAUGCUGUGGCUCAACCAUAGCACUGCCAUUGAUACUGUAUGUCUUGAAUUAUUGUGAAGUGGUUAGAAUAUGUAGUGUAGCGGUGAAAUGCUUAGAUAUUACAUAGAAUACCGAUUGCGAAGGCAGAUCACUAACAAUAUAUUGACGCUGAUGGACGAAAGCGUAGGUAGCGAACGGGAUUAGAUACCCCGGUAGUCUACGCCGUAAACGAUGGAUACUAGUUGUUUGGUUUUCGGACUGAGUGACUAAGCGAAAGUGAUAAGUAUCCCACCUGGGGAGUACGUUCGCAAGAAUGAAACUCAAAGGAAUUGACGGGGGCCCGCACAAGCGGUGGAGCAUGUGGUUUAAUUCGAUGAUACGCGAGGAACCCUACCAGGGCUUAAAUGUAGUAUGACAGACUGAGAGAUCGGUUUUUC
rnacentral:rRNA from 1 species